AGCGAACGCUGGCGGCAGGCCUAACACAUGCAAGUCGAACGAACCCUUCGGGGUGAGUGGCAGACGGGUGAGUAACGCGUGGGAACGUGCCCUUCAGUUCGGGAUAACCCAGGGAAACUUGGGCUAAUACCGGAUACGUGCGAGAGCAGAAAGAUUUAUCGCUGAAGGAUCGGCCCGCGUCUGAUUAGCUAGUUGGUGGGGUAAUGGCCCACCAAGGCGACGAUCAGUAGCUGGUCUGAGAGGAUGAUCAGCCACAUUGGGACUGAGACACGGCCCAAACUCCUACGGGAGGCAGCAGUGGGGAAUAUUGGACAAUGGGCGCAAGCCUGAUCCAGCCAUGCCGCGUGAGUGAUGAAGGCCUUAGGGUUGUAAAGCUCUUUCGUCCGGGACGAUAAUGACGGUACCGGAAGAAGAAGCCCCGGCUAACUUCGUGCCAGCCGCCGCGGUAAUAC
rnacentral:rRNA from 1 species